rnacentral:rRNA from 1 species
CUAGUCCUACGGGACGCAGCAGUGAGGAAUAUUGGUCAAUGGCCGAGAGCCUGAACCAGCCAAGUCGCGUGAGGGAAUAAGGCCCUACGGGUCGUAAACCUCUUUUGCCGGGGAGCAAGGGCGGGGACGUGUCCCGGCCCGGAGAGUACCCGGAGAAAAAGCAUCGGCUAACUCCGUGCCAGCAGCCGCGGUAAUACGGAGGAUGCGAGCGUUAUCCGGAUUUAUUGGGUUUAAAGGGUGCGUAGGCGGGCUUUUAAGUCAGCGGUAAAAAUUCGGGGCUCAACCCCGUCCGGCUGUUGAAACUG